rnacentral:rRNA from 1 species
CCCUUAGAUGUCCUGGGCCGCACGCGCGCUACACUGAUGCAUUCAACGAGUUUUACCUUGGCCGAGAGGCCUGGGCAAUCUUUUAAACCUGCAUCGUGAUAGGGAUAGAUUAUUGCAAUUAUUAAUCUUGAACGAGGAAUUCCUAGUAAACGCAAAUCAUCAAUUUGCAUUGAUUACGUCCCUGCCCUUUGUACACACCGCCCGUCGCACCUACCGAUUGAAUGGUCCGGUGAGGACUCGGGAUUGUGGUUUAGCUCCUUCAUUGGGGCCUGACUGCGAGAACUUGUCCGAACCUUAUCAUUUAGAGGAAGGUGAAGUCGUAACA